rnacentral:rRNA from 1 species
UACGUAGGGUGCAAGCGUUGUCCGGAAUUAUUGGGCGUAAAGAGCUCGUAGGCGGUCUGUCGCGUCUGCUGUGAAAACUCGGGGCUUAACCCCGGGCCUGCAGUGGGUACGGGCAGACUAGAGUGCGGUAGGGGAGUGUGGAAUUCCUGGUGGAGCGGUGAAAUGCGCAGAUAUCAGGAGGAACACCCGUAGCGAAGGCGGCACUCUGGGCCGGAACUGACGCUGAGGAGCGAAAGCGUGGGGAGCGAACAGG